GCAAAAGAAUUUCCGUGCUCAUUUUAAAACUGGAACAAUACAGAGAAGACUAGCAUGGCCUCUGUGCAAGGGUGACAUGCAAAUUUGUUAAGCAUUCCAUAUUGAA